AUAUUAUUUGGUUGAGAUUCCUCUUCUUCAUAUCAUAGGGUGAAAGGAACAAGAUAUUUCAAUUGCCCCCCACUUCAUGGUGGAAUCGUUCGGCCAGACAAAGUAAAGGUUGGUGACUACCCUGAACGAGAUCCAUUCGAGGAGGAUGAAAUCUAA